UACGUAGGUGGCAAGCGUUGUCCGGAAUUACUGGGCGUAAAGCGCGUGUAGGCGGGCCGGAAAGUCGGGCGUGAAAUCCCUGGGCUCAACCCAGGAACUGCACUCGAAACUUCCGGUCUAGAGUGGUGGAGAGGGAAGUGGAAUUCCUGGUGUAGAGGUGAAAUUCGUAGAUAUCAGGAGGAAUACCAGUGGCGAAGGCGGCUUCCUGGACACCAACUGACGCUGAGACGCGAAAGCGUGGGGAGCAAACAGG
rnacentral:rRNA from 1 species